rnacentral:lncRNA from 1 species
UUUUAGAUACUGUGUGCAUAUUUUGAUACAAAAGGAAUAUUUAAGUGAAAGCAGAGAGACACACUAGGCAGCAAAGAAUUCCAAACAAGGAGAGUCAUUUGAAUUAUUCUACUAUUAGUGAGUUGUCUCUCCCACUACUCCUGUAUCUGUUUGGAGGAGGCAAGCAGUUCUUCAGUUAUAAUCAUCAACACAGUAUCAGAGGCAUUAGGCAUGGAGGACUGUCUCCACAUUUUGCAGAUGAGUCCAACAUCCAGCAAGGAAAACUGAUUUACUUAAUAUUGUACAAUCUGUAAGUGUCAGAAUGGCUUCUGUCAUAAUAGACUACUUAUUCCUCCCUGGAGUCUAAGGCAUGAAACAGGUGCAUAGAAUGAGGCAUAGAAACAUAUCAGAAGAACCCCUAAGGGGCCGAAACAUGAACACAAGGUAUCACUUACAAAGAGUCAUAAUGACUAACAUUUAUUGUGAACCCUUCUAGGGCUGUCUUAAUAACUUAGCUCAAUUAAUCUUCAUAGUCAUCUUUACAGUUCUUUAUCAGUUCUUAUGACUGUACUUGCUUUCUCUUGUUUUAUUGCAUUGGCUGACACCUCUAAUGCAAUGUGGAAGAGCAGUGGAGAUAGUGGACAUCCUUGCCUUGUUCCUAAUCUUAGAGGAAAUGCCUUGGAUGCUUCUCCAUUAAAUAAUAUGUUAUCUUGAG